rnacentral:rRNA from 1 species
CCUACGGGAGGCAGCAGUGGGGAAUAUUGGACAAUGGGCGAAAGCCUGAUCCAGCCAUGCCGCGUGUGUGAAGAAGGCCUUCGGGUUGUAAAGCACUUUCAGUGGGGAAGAAAGCCUUGGGGCUAAUACCCUCGAGGAAGGACAUCACCCACAGAAGAAGCACCGGCUAACUCCGUGCCAGCAGCCGCGGUAAUACGGAGGGUGCGAGCGUUAAUCGGAAUUACUGGGCGUAAAGCGCGCGUAGGCGGUCUGAUAAGCCGGUUGUGAAAGCCCCGGGCUCAACCUGGGAACGGCAUCCGGAACUGUCAGGCUAGAGUGCAGGAGAAGAAGGUAGAAUUCCCGGUGUAGCGGUGAAAUGCGUAGAGAUCGGGAGGAAUACCAGUUGCGAAGGCGGCCUUCUGGACUGACACUGACGCUGAGGUGCGAAAGCGUGGGUAGCGAACAGGAUUAGAUACCCGAGUAGUC